rnacentral:rRNA from 1 species
GAGGGAAGGAACGGCUGGCGGCGUGCCUAAUACAUGCAAGUCGAGCGGACCGACGGGAGCUUGCUCCCUUACGUCAGCGGCGGACGGGUGAGUAACACGUGGGUAACCUGCCUGUAAGACUGGGAUAACUCCGGGAAACCGGGGCUAAUACCGGAUGCUUGAUUGAACCGCAUGGUUCAAUCAUAAAAGGUGGCUUUUAGCUACCACUUACAGAUGGACCCGCGGCGCAUUAGCUAGUUGGUGAGGUAACGGCUCACCAAGGCGACGAUGCGUAGCCGACCUGAGAGGGUGAUCGGCCACACUGGGACUGAAACACGGCCCAGACUCCUACGGGAGGCAGCAGUAGGGAAUCUUCCGCAAUGGACGAAAGUCUGACGGAGCAACGCCGCGUGAGUGAUGAAGGUUUUCGGAUCGUAAAACUCUGUUGUUAGGGGAGAACAAGUACCGUUCGAAUAGGGCGGCACCUUGACGGUACCUAACCAGAAAGCCACGGCUAACUACGUGCCAGCAGCCGCGGUAAUACGUAGGUGGCAAGCGUUGUCCGGAAUUAUUGGGCGUUAAAGCGCGCGCAUGCGGUUUCUUAAGUCUGAUGUGAAACCCCCGGCUCAACCGGGGAGAGUCAUUGGAAACUGAGAAAUUG